rnacentral:rRNA from 1 species
GACGAACGCUGGCGGCGUGCUUAACACAUGCAAGUCGAACGGAAAGGCCCUGCUUUUGUGGGGUUCUCGAGUGGCGAACGGGUGAGUAACACGUGAGUAACCUUCCCUUGACUUUGGGAUAACUUCAGGAAACUGGGGCUAAUACCUGAUAGGAGCUCCUGCUGCAUGGUGGGGGUUGGAAAGUUUCGGCGGUUGUGGAUGGACUCGCGGCUUAUCAGCUUGUUGGUGGGGUAGUGGCUUACCAAGGCUUUGACGGGUAGCCGGCCUGAGAGGGUGACCGGCCACAAUGGGACUGAGAUACGGCCCAGACUCCUACGGGAGGCAGCAGUGGGGAAUAUUGCACAAUGGGCGGAAGCCUGAUGAAGAAACGCCGCGUGCGGGAUGACGGCCUUCGGGUUGUAAACCGCUUUAGCCUGUGACGAAGCGUGAGUGACGGUAAUGGGUAAAGAAGCACCGGCUAACUACGUG